rnacentral:rRNA from 1 species
CCUACGGGUGGCAGCAGUAGGGAAUUUUCCACAAUGGGCGAAAGCCUGAUGGAGCAACGCCGCGUGAGGGAUGAAGGAUCUCGGUCUGUAAACCUCUUUGGAGCGGGAAGAACGUCCCCGGGGUGAACAAUCCCGGGGAGUGACGGUACCGCUAGAACAAGACACGGCUAACUUCGUGCCAGCAGCCGCGGUAAUACGAAGGUGUCGAACGUUGUCCGGAAUUAUUGGGCGUAAAGGGCGCGUAGGCGGCCAGGUAAGUCAGGUGUGAAAGCUCUGGGCUCAACCCAGGAAUUGCACUUGAAACUGCUUGGCUUGAGUUCGGUAGAGGAGGGCGGAAUUCCUGGUGUAGCAGUGAAAUGCGUAGAUAUCAGGAGGAACACCCGUGGCGAAGGCGGCUCUCUGGUCCGAUACUGACGCUGAGGCGCGAAAGGUAGGGGAGCAAACAGGAUUAGAUACCCCUGUAGUC